rnacentral:rRNA from 1 species
UACGAGGGGGGCGAGCGUUGUUCGGAAUUAUUGGGCGUAAAGGGUGCGUAGGCGGUUCCGCAAGUCCUGUGUGAAAUCUUCGGGCUCAACUCGAAGUCUGCACGGGAAACUGCGGGGCUUGAGUGUGGGAGAGGUGAGUGGAAUUCCCGGUGUAGCGGUGAAAUGCGUAGAUAUCUGGAGGAAUACCGGUGGCGAAGGCGGCUACCUGGUCCUAUACUGACGCUGAGAUACGAAAGCAUGGGUAGCAAACAGG